rnacentral:rRNA from 1 species
UACGGAGGGUGCAAGCGUUAUCCGGAUUCACUGGGUUUAAAGGGUGCGUAGGUGGGUUGGUAAGUCAGUGGUAAAAUCCCCGAGCUUAACUUAGGAACUGCCAUUGAUACUAUCAGUCUUGAAUACCGUGAAGGUUAGCAGAAUAUGUCAUGUAGCGGUGAAAUGCUUAGAUAUGACAUAGAACACCAAUUGCGAAAACAGCUAACUACACGAAUAUUGACACUAAAACACGAAAGCAUAAAAAUCAAACAGG